rnacentral:misc_RNA from 1 species
UUCAGGAUCAACCAGGUAGCAUCCCUCGCGGACACCGGGCCACACGAAGCUUGCGCCCGUGUGACACCGAUAGUCGUUCGAAUGUAUUCUUCGACGAUUGUCGCGGGCAGAUAGGAGUCGAGGACCCCGUGCCCCCAGCGUAUUCCGUAUCCCGAAGCCCGAACGAGGAGUCAUGUGCCGCGACGACAAAGCCAAGGGCUUGAAGACGAGGAGCACGAAUCUCGUUUCGAGGUUCACCAGAGGUCGCGCCGUUAAACCGGCCGCCCUUAGCGAACGAGGGAAUAUUGCCAAUCGAAUUCCAUGAUGUGGUACGCAACACAGGAAACCGAGCGAACGGCCAAGGCGAGGCUUCGCGCUUGGACCAACCAUUGAAGAGGAUAGCACGGCUAGACGUCGCUGCCCGAAGCAGGGAUCCAACCAACCC